ACGAACGCUGGCGGCGUGCUUAACACAUGCAAGUCGAACGGAAAGGCCCUGCUUUUGUGGGGUGCUCGAGUGGCGAACGGGUGAGUAACACGUGAGUAACCUGCCCUUGACUUUGGGAUAACUUCAGGAAACUGGGGCUAAUACUGGAUAGGAGCUCCUGCUGCAUGGUGGGGGUUGGAAAGUUUCGGCGGUUGGGGAUGGACUCGCGGCUUAUCAGCUUGUUGGUGGGGUAGUGGCUUACCAAGGCUUUGACGGGUAGCCGGCCUGAGAGGGUGACCGGCCACAUUGGGACUGAGAUACGGCCCAGACUCCUACGGGAGGCAGCAGUGGGGAAUAUUGCACUAUGGGCGGAAGCCUGAUGCAGCAACGCCGCGUGCGGGAUGACGGCCUUCGGGUUGUAAACCGCUUUCGCCUGUGACGAAGCGUGAGUGACGGUAAUGGGUAAAGAAGCACCGGCUAACUACGUG
rnacentral:rRNA from 1 species